AGAAGAGGGAAAGCGGGGUUUUUGGAUUUUCACUCUCUUUCUCUCUCUAAAAAACCCCUCUCGAGGUUCAAUCCGGCUCUGCAAUGGCGGAUUUCCAGAGCUCGACGCACCGAGCCAAGUGGAUAUUCACUCCUCACGGUCUGGCUGAAAAGUACAAGGCUGCUAAUCAAAGGGCGAUACAGACUCUGGAGAAGUAUGGAGCUACACGUAUGGAAGUAGAUGUCGAUGGAUCGUUGCUAUACCGUGAGGCUCAAGUUAAUUCGAAUGCAGACAAGCAUUCCCGUCCAAAACCACUUAAUAUUGAGGAAGAACAGUUUUUGAGGAUGUUCUAUGAAAAUAAACUUCGAGAAGUUUGUGGAGCCUUUUACUUUCCUCAUAAGGUUCAGGCGACAGCUCUCAUAUACUUUAAAAGGUUCUAUUUACAGUGGUCGGUCAUGGAACAUCACCCAAAGGACAUCAUUUUAACCUGCAUAUAUGCAGCCUGUAAAAUAGAAGAAAAUCAUGUAUCUGCAGAGGAGCUUGGUAAGGGAAUCUCACAGGAUCAUCAAGUCAUUCUCAAUAACGAGAUGCUAGUUCUUCAGAGUUUAGAGUUUGAUCUUAUUGUAUAUGCACCAUAUCGCUCAAUUGAAGGUUUCACAGAUGAUCUUGGGGAUUUCUGCCAUGCAGAGGAUGACCAGCUUCAAUUGCUAAAGGAAACUGCAAAAGAGGAAGUAGACAAAAGUAUGCUUACUGAUGCACCGCUUCUCUUUCCUCCUGGACAGCUGGCAUUGGCGGCUUUGCGUCGUGCUAAUGAGGUGCAUGGAGUUCUGGACUAUGAAAGUUACCUAGAGAACAUGCUCGUACGCCAAAAUUCCAUUCACAGCAGCACAGAGCUCAUUCAGCAUCUGAAUGCGAUAGAUUCCUCGGUUAGGACAUAUAAAUUCCCUUCUGAGAAGGAUAUGAAACACAUCAACAGGAAGCUGAGAUCUUGUUGGGGCCUUAGUUCACAUGAUGAUAGUAAGAAACGAGACAAGAAAUCGAAGCACAAAUCCAAGCAGAGUGCAGAUUAGAUGCAAGAGGGGUCAUCUCUUGCUUGACAGUAUGUCAUAUGUAUCCCUUGUGUGUAUGCACAGCUGAGGCAUCGUCAUUAAUGCCACACUCAUCCAAAUAUGCAUCUACUACGACUGUGGUUGCUGAACUUACUCUUCAAAGCUUGUUUUGCAUCACGAAAAUAUUCCACAGUAUGGAAGUGACAGAAAACAGUA